rnacentral:lncRNA from 1 species
GCCACCCUUUGGGGUCGCCUUGGUGGCACCUUGGUGGACCUUGGGGACAUCUUGGAGACAUCCUUGGUGGCACCUCGGUGACACCUUGGUGGCACCUUGGGGACAGUCAUGGGUGUUGUGCCACCCCCCUUGGGGACACCUUGGUGGCACCUUGGGGACAGUCAUGGGUGUUGUGCCACCCCCCUUGGGGACACCUUGGUGGCACCUUGGGGACACUUUGGGGACACCGUUGGAGGGAAUGUCGUGCCUUGGUGGCACUUUGGGGACAUCUUGUGCCACCACCCCCUUGGUGGCACCUUGGGGACACCUUAGGGACACUGUGGAGGGGACGUCGUGACUUGGUGGCACCUUGGGGACGUCGUGCCACCAUCCCCUUGGGGACACCUUGGUGGCACCUUGGGGACAGUCAUGGGUGUUGUGCCACCCCCCUUGGGGACACCUUGGUGGCACCUUGGGGACACUUUGGGGACCUCUUGGGGACACUGUGCGAUGUGGAGGGGACGUCGUGCCUUGGUGGCACCUUAGGGACAAUCAUGGACAUCGUGCCACCUCCUUGGUGACACCUUGGUGGCACCUUGGGGACAUCUUGAGGACAUCGUUGUGCCACCUUUGGGGACACCUUGGUGGCACCUUGGGGACAUCAUUGUGCCACCUUUGGGGACACCUAGAGGACACCUUGGUGGCACCUUGGGGACAAUCAUGGACAUCAUUGUGCCACCUCCUUGGGGACAGCUUGGGGACAUCGUCGUGCCACCUUUGGGGACACCUUUGGGGACACCUUGGUGACAUCGUGCCACCUCCUUGCGGACACCUUGGGGACAAUCAUGGACGCCGUGCCACCUCCUUGGUGACACCUUGGGGACAUUUUGGGGACACGGUGCCACCCCCUUGGGGACACUUUGGGGACAAUCACGGAUGUGACGCCGCCUCUUUGGGGACACUUUGGUGGCACUUUGGGGACGUGGUCGUGUCACCCUUGGGGCCACGAUGGCCUUGGGGACAAUGGGGACAUUGUGCCACCCCCGGGUGUCACUUUGGGGUCACUGGGGGGCAUUAAAGGUCCUGGGGACACUUUGGGGACAUCGUGUGCUGCUUGGGGA